rnacentral:tRNA from 1 species
GUGGGUGUGGCUCAGUGGCAGAGCGCUUGCCUAGCACGUGUGAGGCACUGGGUUCGAUCCUCAGCACCACA